CACGUAGGCGGUUUGGUUAGUCUGAUGUGAAAGCCCCCGACUCAAUCGGGGAAGUGCAUUGGAUACUGCCAGACUAGAGUACAGGAGGGGUGAGUGGAAUUCCAGGUGUAGAGGUGAAAUUCGUAGAUAUCUGGAGGAACAACGGCGGCGAAGGCGACUCACUGGACUGUUACUGACGCUGAGGUGCGAAAGCGUGGGGAGCAAACA
rnacentral:rRNA from 1 species